rnacentral:tRNA from 1 species
UAGGACAAUAGUCAACGAUGAUACCUGAUUUGCAUUUAGGAGGUGCUACAAAAUUAGCUUGUCUUAAC